rnacentral:tRNA from 1 species
AAAAGUUCUAAGAGUAU